AUUGAACGCUGGCGGCAGGCCUAACACAUGCAAGUCGAGCGGAUGAAGGGAGCUUGCUCCUGGAUUCAGCGGCGGACGGGUGAGUAAUGCCUAGGAAUCUGCCUGGUAGUGGGGGAUAACGUCCGGAAACGGGCGCUAAUACCGCAUACAUCCUGAGGGAGAAAGUGGGGGAUCUUCGGACCUCACGCUAUCAGAUGAGCCUAGGUCGGAUUAGCUAGUUGGUGGGGUAAAGGCCUACCAAGGCGACGAUCCGUAACUGGUCUGAGAGGAUGAUCAGCCACACUGGAACUGAGACACGGUCCAGACUCCUACGGGAGGCAGCAGUGGGGAAUAUUGGACAAUGGGCGAAAGCCUGAUCCAGCCAUGCCGCGUGUGUGAAGAAGGUCUUCGGAUUGUAAAGCACUUUAAGUUGGGAGGAAGGGCAGUAAGUUAAUACCUUGCUGUUUUGACGUUACCAACAGAAUAAGCACCGGCUAACUUCGUG
rnacentral:rRNA from 1 species